UUGCUGGUCGGUGUUACAUUGACUUCUUCGUGUCCUACUCCGUGCUCAGAGGAUCCUGGGGAUGCUGUGAUUUUCAGGCAAAGCCAGCUCUCUUGCUGCCAAUGAUCAGAAAACAUCAGACAAACUGCCAGCACAUCUGGGCCUCUGCCCAAGCAUCUGGCUGCACACUUCCCUAACCGUGUACCUUCAGCCGCAUUUCAGAUUGGCCUUGGCUGUGAACCCUGCACCCCAUACUCCAGGUCAAGACUGGUGAGGAGAAAGGUCAAGGGGGGAGACUCCUGUGAAUGCAUUAAAGCCAGAAAGAAUGUGAUUUGUUAACCGGAAAACAUUCUGUUUACCUCUGUGUGUAGCCGUGUGUGCAUUUUGUCCACCCGAAGUGCUCUUUGCCCUUGUCUCUGCCGGUCCAAGCCCCUCGCCAAACCCCUGCAGAACUGCGUGAGAAUUCACAGCCUCCAGCCGACAGACGUCCACGUCUCUGCCCUAGCUCCUGCAUGUCUCCGCCACCCUACAGGAGGGAAUGUGGAUGCGAGCUGUUCACAAGAGACUGACGGAUCAGUGCUCCAAUGUUAAUUUAGACCGAGGAACACAACUGCUAGUGGAGAGAAAGCGGGGAUCACAGGUGAUGUCGUGUGCUGGUCAAGGAAACAUGCAGAGCAUACGAUUUUCGGCCGUCACUUGGGACGACAGGAGACAGGUGGAGAGUGGGUCAGAGGGCAAAUUACAAGUUCCCUGCUGCUCAGCCAAUUUUCGAGAGAACAUCCUCAAAAAAAGCAAAAGACAUUCUGUCUUUAUGGUCAUGAAACAAGGAGGGAAACCUCUGUUUUUAUCCAUAAACUUCUCCUUUGGACUAAAAAAAUGUGCUAAACUUGCUCUGUCCUCAAAUGGAAAGUAACACAAACAAAAUCGAGACAAUUAAGGAGGGCACGUAUUGCAUGGAGCACUGGGUGUUAUACGCAAACAAUGAAUCAUGGAACUUUACAUCAAAAACUAGGGAUGUACUGUAUGGUGACUAACAUAACGUAAUAAAAAAU
rnacentral:lncRNA from 1 species